UACGGGGGGUGCAAGCGUUGUCCGGAUUUACUGGGCGUAAAGGGCGCGUAGGCGGUUGUAUCAGUCGGGCUUAUAAGUGCGGGGCUCAACCCCGUGAUGGGUUCGGGACGGUAUGACUGGGGCGCGGUCGAGGGAGACGGAAUGCCGGGUGUAGUGGUGAAAUGCGUAGAGAUCCGGCGGAACACCGGUGGUGAAGGCGGUCUCCUAGGCCGAGGGCCGACGCUGAGGCGCGAGGGCGUGGGGAGCGAACCGG
rnacentral:rRNA from 1 species